rnacentral:rRNA from 1 species
AUGCUAUCAGGGCAUGACCACAACCAGUGCAGAGUUGUCCAAUCCACUCCUUUUGGGCCAGUAAUGGAGCAGACCCUUGGGACAAUAAGCUGGCAGCAAGGAAACCUGUAUCCAUCUUUUAUGCUGAUCAGGAGAACAAACUGCAAAAAAUGUGUUAUCUGGGCAAAAAGUGAUGACAUAGGAAGAGAUCUGAUCAAGUUGUCUAAAGAUGUUAUGACAUAG